CCAAAUGUGAGAGUUAAGAGUUAUUUAAAGGGGGUACAGCCCCUUUAAAAAAGGACACAACCUCAACCAGCGGAUAACUUCAACGUGCCUAACCCCGUGGGCCUUAAAGCAGCCACCCCUAAAGAUUGCGUCAAAGCUCCAUCAACUAAAAACACCAAAGACUAACACGACUCCCUGCACCUAUAGCGGGCUAACCUAUAACAAUAGAUGAAUCAAUGCUAGAACGAGUAACCAGGACACCACGUCCCCCCAAGCGCCAGCCUACACACCAUUAACAGCACAAACCUCAAUAAUAACCACCACCCCCACCAUUGAACAUACCCUGUCAAUCCAACUCAGGGGCGCACAUUGGAGUGAUCAAAGUCUACAAAAGGAACUCGGCAAACCCAAGACCCGACUGUUUACCAAAAACAUAGCCUUCAGCCAAACAAGUAUUGAAGGUGAUGCCUGCCCAGUGACACCACGUUUAACGGCCGCGGUAUUCUAACCGUGCAAAGGUAGCGCAAUCAAUUGUCCCAUAAAUCGAGACCUGUAUGAAUGGCUAAACGAGGUCUUAACUGUCUCCUGUAGACAAUCGGUGAAACUGAUCUCUCUGUACAAAAGCAGAGAUAAACACAUAAGACGAGAAGACCCUGUGGAACUUCAAAAUCAACAGCCACCUCACCCCACUCACAAACCCACCCGGGCCCACCACCCAAGACAC
rnacentral:rRNA from 1 species